UACAGGGGGGGCAAGCGUUGUUCGGAAUUACUGGGCGUAAAGGGCGCGUAGGCGGCCUGGUAAGUCGAAUGUGAAAUCCCUGGGCUCAACCCAGGAACUGCGUCCGAUACUGGUUGGCUUGAAUCCGGGAGAGGGAUGUGGAAUUCCAGGUGUAGCGGUGAAAUGCGUAGAUAUCUGGAGGAACACCGGUGGCGAAGGCGACAUCCUGGACCGGUAUUGACGCUGAGGCGCGAAAGCCAGGGGAGCAAACGGG
rnacentral:rRNA from 1 species